UACAGAGGGUGCGAGCGUUAAUCGGAAUUACUGGGCGUAAAGCGUGCGCAGGCGGUUUUGUAAGUCUGUCGUGAAAUCCCCGGGCUUAACCUGGGAAUUGCGCUUGAAACUAGCGGGCUUGAGUGUGGCAGAGGGGGGUGGAAUUCCACGUGUAGCAGUGAAAUGCGUAGAGAUGUGGAGGAACACCGAUGGCGAAGGCAGCCCCCUGGGUCAACACUGACGCUCAUGCACGAAAGCGUGGGGAGCAAACAGG
rnacentral:rRNA from 1 species